CUCCGAAUACCAGUAAGUACUAUCCGGGAGACACACGGCGGGUGCUAACGUCCGUCGUGAAGAGGAACAACCCAGACCGCAGCUAAGGUCCCAAAGUACUAGUUAAGUGGGAAACGAUGUGGGAAGGCUUAGACAGCUAGGAUGUUGGCUUAGAAGCAGCCAUCAUUUAAAGAAAGCGUAAUAGCUCACUAGUCGAGUCGGCCUGCGCGGAAGAUGUAACGGGGCUAAACUAGUCACCGAAGCUGCGGAUUUGCAUGAAAAUGCAAGUGGUAGGGGAGCGUUCUGUAAGUCUGUGAAGGUGUGUGGUAACGCAUGCUGGAGAUAUCAGAAGUGCGAAUGCUGACGUGAGUAACGUUAAGGGAGUGAAAGACUCCCUCGCCGGAAGACCAAGGGUUCCUGUCCAACGUUAAUCGGGGCAGGGUGAGUCGACCCCUAAGGCGAGGCUGAAAGGCGUAGUCGAUGGGAAGCGGGUUAAUAUUCCUGCACUUUUUGUAACUGCGAUGAGGGAACGC
rnacentral:rRNA from 1 species